CCCCAGUAGUGGCGAAUGAAGCGGGAAAAGCUCAAGUUUGAAAUCUGAAGUCCACUUCAGAGUUGUAAGCUGAAGAGGUGUCGACCGACUUGGUCCGGGCCCAACUUCCUUGGAACAGGAGGUCAUGGAGGGUGAGAACCCCGUCUGUGGCUCGGGUGCCGUAGUCCUUGUGUCGUGCCCUCGAAGAGUCGGGUUGUUUGGGAAUGCAGCUCAAAAUGGGUGGUAAAUUUCAUCUAAGGCUAAAUAUUGGCGAGAGACCGAUAGCAAACAAGUAGAGUGAUCGAAAGAUGAAAAGUACUUUGAAAAGAGAGUGAAACAGUACGUGAAAUUGUUGAAAGGGAAGCGUUUGGCAUCAG
rnacentral:rRNA from 1 species